AGAGUUUGAUCCUGGCUCAGGACGAACGCUGGCGGCGCGCCUAACACAUGCAAGUCGAACGGAGCUGAGAGGAGCUUGCUUUUCUCAGCUUAGUGGCGAACGGGUGAGUAACGCGUGAGUAACCUGCCCUGGAGUGGGGGACAACAGUUGGAAACGACUGCUAAUACCGCAUAAGCCCACGAUCCGGCAUCGGAUUGAGGGAAAAGGAUUUAUUCGCUUCAGGAUGGACUCGCGUCCAAUUAGCUAGUUGGUGAGGUAACGGCCCACCAAGGCGACGAUUGGUAGCCGGACUGAGAGGUUGAACGGCCACAUUGGGACUGAGACACGGCCCAGACUCCUACGGGAGGCAGCAGUGGGGGAUAUUGCACAAUGGGGGAAACCCUGAUGCAGCGACGCCGCGUGGAGGAAGAAGGUUUUCGGAUUGUAAACUCCUGUCGUUAGGGACGAUAAUGACGGUACCUAACAAGAAAGCACCGGCUAACUACGUGCCAGCAGCCGCGGUAAAACGUAGGGUGCAAGCGUUGUCCGGAAUUACUGGGUGUAAAGGGAGCGCAGGCGGACCGGCAAGUUGGAAGUGAAAACUAUGGGCUCAACCCAUAAAUUGCUUUCAAAACUGCCAGUCUUGAGUGGUGUAGAGGUAGGCGGAAUUCCCGGUGUAGCGGUGGAAUGCGUAGAUAUCGGGAGGAACACCAGUGGCGAAGGCGGCCUACUGGGCACCAACUGACGCUGAGGCUCGAAAGUGUGGGUAGCAAACAGGAUUAGAUACCCUGGUAGUCCACACCGUAAACGAUGAUUACUAGGUGUUGGAGGAUUGACCCCUUCAGUGCCGCAGUUAACACAAUAAGUAAUCCACCUGGGGAGUACGACCGCAAGGUUGAAACUCAAAGGAAUUGACGGGGGCCCGCACAAGCAGUGGAGUAUGUGGUUUAAUUCGAAGCAACGC
rnacentral:rRNA from 1 species